GGGAGUGGAGGGUGGGCCCGGGACGGGCGCGGACCCGGUAAUCUAACCCUGACUCACAAGAGGCGUAGGCGCCGUGCUUUUGCUCCCCGCGCGCUGUUUUUCUCGCUGACUUUCAGCGUUCGGAAAAGCCCUGUGGCCUAUCGCCAUCCACCAUCCUUUCUGGAACAAACAGACAAAAAAAAAAAUGUCAGCUGCUGGUCCGUUCGCUCCUCCCGGGCCCUGCGGUGGCCGCCAGCCCGCCCUCUCAUCCCCCGCGUCCCGCCUAGAGGCCGCGGUCGGCCCGGGGCUUCUCCGGAGGUGCCCAUUGCCGCCGCGAAGAGUUAGGCUCUGUCAGCCGCGGGCUCUCGGGGGGCCCAGGGCGAGGUUUAGGCCUCGUGGCCGCAGGGACAGCAACGGAGCGGGUCCCCGCGAGCCUGUGCGCGUCCCUGAGCCGUGGGACUUGCACCGGGGACUUUGCUCGGACAAUC
rnacentral:telomerase_RNA from 12 species